GUGACGGCGUGCCUUUUGCAUAAUGAGCCUACGAGUUAGUCGUCACCAGCGAGGUUAAGUCCUUCAGGGACGUGAGCCGAAGUGAAAGCGAGCCUCUAAAGGGCGUUAAGUUGGUGGCGCUAGACGCGAAACCUUGUGAUCUACCCUCGUGCAGGUUGAAGUCGCGGUAACACGUGAUGGAGGACCGAACCGGUAAACGUUGAAAAGUUUUCGGAUGACGCGAGGGUAGGGGUGAAAGGCCAAUCAAACUGGGAAAUAGCUCGUACUCUCCGAAAUGCAUUUCGGUGCAGCCUGUGGUGUUCUGUUCUAGAGGUAGAGCUACUGAUUGGACGCGAGGGCUUCACCGCCUAUCAAAUCCGGAUAAACUCCGAAUGCUAGAACACUUGAACCAUGGAGUGAGCCCGCGGGUGCUAAGGUCCGCGGACGAGAGGGGAAGAACCCAGACCACCCGCUAAGGUCCCCGAUGGACGGUUAAGUUGAUAAAACGAGGUGGGAUCGCGAAGACAGCUAGGAUGUUGGCUUGGAAGCAGCCAUUCAUUUAAAGAGUGCGUAACAGCUCACUAGUCGAGUGAUCCCGCGUGGAUAAUACACGGGCAUUAAACCGUCAACCGAAGCGGUGGGGUUAGCAGUAGCUAACCGGUAGGAGAGCAUUCCUGUCGGCGCUGAAGGUGUAUCGCGAGGUACGCUGGAGCGUCAGGAAAAGCAAAUGUAGGCAUAAGUAACGAUAAUGGGGGCGAGAACCCCCCACGCCGAAAGACCAAGGAUUCCCCGGCAAUGCCAAUCAGCCGGGGGUCAGCCGGCCUCUAAGGCUAACCCGAGUGGGGAUGCCGACGAGAAACGGGUUAACAUUCCCGUGCUUCUCGUCACCGUUACGCGGUGACGGGGUGACCAAGGAACCGCGCGCUGACGGAAUAGCGCGUUGAAGGCCGUACCCUGUGACGGUGGUAGUCAAGCACGCCACCGGAGGCGAAAGUCGAUAGUACCGCGAGGCCUCGGCCGAGCGGAUAGCGUUCCGGGCGUUAACCCCCAAGAAAACCCGCUAAACUUCAAGUGACGAGGAACCGUACUGUAAACGGACACACGUGGUCUGGUAGAGGAUACCGAGGCGCUCGAGUGAUUCAUGGUCAAGGAACUAGGCAAAAUAGUCCUGUAACCUCGGGAUAAAGGACGCUCUAGUGAUAGAGCCGCAGAGAAAUGGCCCAGGCGACUGUUUACCAAAAACACAUGGCUAUGCCAAAUCGAGAGAUGACGUAUAUGGCCUGACACCUGCCCGGUGCCGGAAGGUUAAGAGGAGAGCUUAGACGAAAGUCGAGGGUUUGAAUUGAAGCCCCGGUAAACGGCGGCCGUAACUAUAACGGUCCUAAGGUAGCGAAAUUCCUUGUCGGGUAAGUUCCGACCUGCACGAAUGGUGU
rnacentral:rRNA from 1 species